ensembl:lincRNA
GGAGGAGCCCCCGCCUCCCUGCCUCCUGGGGACCCUGAGGGAGAAAGUCCCUUUAGGGUUGAAUGCUUGGGCAAGUGACACGUGGUUUUCCUACUGUCGCCCCAACCUAAAAAGAACGAAUCCAGGCGGGGAAUUAGCCCUGGGGACAGAGGGUUUCCUCCUUCUGGACAGAGAAGGCCCAGAGUCUGCUUCUGAACGGAUAUCCGGCCCGCAGGAUGCAGAGGAGGCAAAGGCCUCAUUGUUCUUUGGGGCCUGCCUGCCUGCCCCGCCCCCAGCCGUAGGACACUCGUGGCAGAUCCCGGGUGACCGAAGACAGCCCAUUUGCAGGAGUGGGGCCUUCGGAGCGGAGGGAGCGAGAAAACAGGGCUGAUCACAGACCAGGAGUCUGAUGUUCUGAGCAUAAUACUGGAAGGAGCUAAGAGCCCCAAAAUAAAUAAGACCGGAAUUUAAAAACGUUAAUCCCACGCCGGCUCGGCGCUGGCCUGGCUGUUACUCAUUAACGCUCCCCACGGCGGAGACUCCGGCGACUCCGUCUGCGUUUUUAUUACUUAAUCUAGCUGGGUUUGGCUGCAGGGAGGCUCCUGGACUUGCUGGCCGGGUGUGCUGGAAGGCAGUUUAUUCACAGAACGAGCGGCUUCCCACGGUGGACCCCGAGCCCCGGGCGCGGUCCGUGUAGACCCCGCGCCUGCGCCCCGCGGCCGCCCGGGGGCGCUCGGGUC